rnacentral:rRNA from 1 species
AGGUAUCAGAAGUGCGAAUGCUGACAUGAGUAACGACAAAGGGGGUGAAAAACCUCCUCGCCGGAAGACCAAGGGUUCCUGUCCAACGUUAAUCGGGGCAGGGUGAGUCGACCCCUAAGGUGAGGCCGAAAGGCGUAAUCGAUGGGAAACGGGUUAAUAUUCCCGUACUUCUGACUAUUGCGAUGGGGGGACGGAGAAGGCUAGGUGGGCCAGGCGACGGUUGUCCUGGUUCAAGUGCGUAGGCUUGAGAGUUAGGUAAAUCCGGCUCUCUCUAAGGCUGAGACACGACGUCGAGCUACUACGGUAGUGAAGUCAUUGAUGCCAUGCUUCCAGGAAAAGCCUCUAAGCUUCAGAUAGUCAGGAAUCGUACCCCAAACCGACACAGGUGGUCGGGUAGAGAAUACCAAGGCGCUUGAGAGAACUCGGGUGAAGGAACUAGGCAAAAUGGUACCGUAACUUCGGGAGAAGGUACGCUCUUGAUGGUGAAGUCCCUCGCGGAUGGAGCUGACGAGAGUCGCAGAUACCAGGUGGCUGCAACUGUUUAUUAAAAACACAGCACUGUGCAAAAUCGCAAGAUGACGUAUACGGUGUGACGCCUGCCCGGUGCCGGAAGGUUAAUUGAUGGGGUUAGCGCAAGCGAAGCUCUUGAUCGAAGCCCCGGUAAACGGCGGCCGUAACUAUAACGGUCCUAAGGUAGCGAAAUUCCUUGUCGGGUAAGUUCCGACCUGCACGAAUGGCGUAAUGAUGGCCACGCUGUCUCCACCCGAGACUCAGUGAAAUUGAAAUCGCUGUGAAGAUGCAGUGUACCCGCGGCUAGACGGAAAGACCCCGUGAACCUUUACUACAGCUUGGCACUGAACAUUGAACCUACAUGUGUAGGAUAGGUGGGAGGCUAUGAAGACGUGACGCCAGUUGCGUUGGAGCCGUCCUUGAAAUACCACCCUUGUAUGUUUGAUGUUCUAACUUAGACCCAUUAUCUGGGUUGAGGACAGUGCCUGGUGGGUAGUUUGACUGGGGCGGUCUCCUCCCAAAGAGUAACGGAGGAGCACGAAGGUGGGCUAAUCACGGUUGGACAUCGUGAGGUUAGUGCAAUGGCAUAAGCCCGCUUAACUGCGAGAAUGACGGUUCGAGCAGGUGCGAAAGCAGGUCAUAGUGAUCCGGUGGUUCUGUAUGGAAGGGCCAUCGCUCAACGGAUAAAAGGUACUCCGGGGAUAACAGGCUGAUACCGCCCAAGAGUUCAUAUCGACGGCGGUGUUUGGCACCUCGAUGUCGGCUCAUCACAUCCUGGGGCUGAAGUCGGUCCCAAGGGUAUGGCUGUUCGCCAUUUAAAGUGGUACGCGAGCUGGGUUUAGAACGUCGUGAGACAGUUCGGUCCCUAUCUGCCGUGGGCGUUGGAAGAUUGAAGGGGGCUGCUCCUAGUACGAGAGGACCGGAGUGGACGAACCUCUGGUGUUCGGGUUGUGUCGCCAGACGCAUUGCCCGGUAGCUAAGUUCGGAAUUGAUAAGCGCUGAAAGCAUCUAAGCGCGAAGCGAGCCCUGAGAUGAGUCUUCCCUGACAGUUUAACUGUCCUAAAGGGUUGUUCGAGACUAGAACGUUGAUAGGCAGGGUGUGUAAGCGUUGUGAGGCGUUGAGCUAACCUGUACUAAUUGCCCGUGAGGCUUAACCAUACAACACCCAAGGGGUUUUGUA